rnacentral:rRNA from 1 species
GACGAACGCUGGCGGCGUGCUUAACACAUGCAAGUCGAACGGAAAGGCCCUGCUUUUGUUGGGUGCUCGAGUGGCGAACGGGGGAGUAACACGUGAGUAACCUGCCCUUGACUUUGGGAUAACUUCAGGAAACUGGGGCUAAUACCGGAUAGGAGCUCCUGCUGCAUGGGGGGGGUUGGAAAGAUUCGGCGGUUGGGGAUGGACUCGCGGCUUAUCAGCUUGUUGGUCGGGUAGUGGCUUACCAAGGCUUUGACGGGUAGGCGGCCUGAGAGGGUGACCGGCCACAUUGGGACUGAGAUACGGCGCAGACGCCUACGGGAGGCAGCAGUGGGGAGUAUUGCAGAAUGGGCGGAAGCCUGAUGCAGCAACGCCGCGUGCGGGAUGCCGGCCUUCGGGUUGUAAACCGCUGUCGACUGUGACGAAGAGUGAGUGACGGUAAUGGGUAAAGAAGCAACGGCUAACUACGUG